GAUGAACGCUAGCGGGAGGCCUAACACAUGCAAGCCGAGCGGGAUUUGUUGGUUAGCUUGCUAACUAACAAUGAGAGCGGCGUACGGGUGCGUAGCACGUGUGCAACCUGCCUUUAUCUGGGGGAUAGCCUUUCGAAAGGAAGAUUAAUACCCCAUAACAUAUUGAUUGGCAUCAGUUAAUAUUGAAAGCUCCGGCGGAUAGAGAUGGGCACGCGUAAGAUUAGCUAGUUGGUGAGGUAACGGCUCACCAAGGCUGCGAUCUUUAGGGGGCCUGAGAGGGUGAUCCCCCACACUGGUACUGAGACACGGACCGGACUCCUACGGGAGGCAGCAGUGAGGAAUAUUAGACAAUGGGUGAGAGCCUGAUCCAGCCAUCCCGCGUGAAGGACUAAGGACCUAUGGUUUGUAAACUUCUUUUAUACAGGGAUAAACCUACUCUCGUGAGGGUAGCUGAAGGUACUGUAUGAAUAAGCACCGGCUAACUCCGUG
rnacentral:rRNA from 1 species